rnacentral:rRNA from 1 species
UACGAAGGGGGCUAGCGUUGCUCGGAAUCACUGGGCGUAAAGCGCACGUAGGCGGAUCUUUAAGUCGGGGGUGAAAUCCUGGAGCUCAACUCCAGAACUGCCCUCGAUACUGAGGAUCUUGAGUUCGGGAGAGGUGAGUGGAACUGCGAGUGUAGAGGUGAAAUUCGUAGAUAUUCGCAAGAACACCAGUGGCGAAGGCGGCUCACUGGCCCGAUACUGACGCUGAGGCACGAAAGCGUGGGGAGCAAACAGG